UUUUUUUUUUUUUUUUUUUUUUUGUCUUUUUGCCAUUUCAUGGGCCGCUCCAGCAGCAUAUGGAGAUUCCCAGACUAGGAGUUGAAUCGGAGAUGUAGCCGCCGGCCUAUGCCAGGGCCACAGCAAUGCAAGAUCCGAGCCGCGUCUGCAACCUACACCACAGCUCACGGCAAUGCCGGAUCAUUAACCCACUGAGCAAGGGCAGGGACCGAACCCGCAACCUCAUGGUUCCUAGUCGGAUUCAUUAACCACUGCGCCAUGACAGGAACUCCAAGAAAUGGCUGGGGGCACUGUUGUGGCAUGAGUUUGAUCCCUGGCCCAGGAAAUUCCACAUACCAUAAAUGCUGCCAAAUUAAAUAAAUAAAAAUAUGGUUUUGAGAGCAGUCCAUCCUAGGAAAACAGUGCCAGUGCUUAACCAAUAUUCUCCAUCUGAAGGUAAGAUAAAUAAGUAUUUUAAACAAAAUUUAUCUAUACCAGUGUACCACAUUUUUUGUAAUUGUGCCCAAGAAAACAAAAUUGUAUGUUUCUCCACCUGUACAGUUCAAAUAACUCUUCCACUACCUUUUUUACUUCUUGUUUUCUUUAUUUAUUUUACAUUCUCCAUGGACCACUAAUGCGCUUAAAUAAUGUAUUGACUUAAUGUGACUCUUUAGAUUCCUUCAGAAAAUAAAGAGUUCCUCCGGAAGCCAAAGACCAAUGUUUCAGUUCAAAUAUUUCAUCCUUCCCCUGGGUCUGGAAGGCUCAAUAUCUAUUUAUUAACAUAAUUUUAAAAGAUGAUCUUGAGUAUAAUUUAAAGUUCAUAGGUGAUACUUGGGAUUUGUAUUUAAAUGAACAGUUCUGUAGUAGCUUGAAGUUCACCACUUUCUCUAUUUCCUUAAAAACAGUAAUUCUGGGACUCUUGUUGUGGCUCAGCAGAUUAAGGACCCAACAUUGUCUCUAUGAGGAUGCGGGUUCAAUCCCUGGAAUCGCUCUGUGGGUUAAGUAUUUGGCAUUGCCACAAGCUGCAGUGUAGGCUGCAGAUGUGGUUUGGAGCUAUUGUUGCUGUGGUGUAGGCCGGCAUCUGUGGCUCUGAUUUGACCCCCAGCCUGGGAACUUCCAUAAGCUUCAGGCAUGGCUGUAAAAAUAAAAAAUAAAUAAAUAAACAUAAACAAAAAGCAGUAAUUCUAUGUAAAGCAGAAGACAUAAACACACAACUUGCCAACAGGCGGUGAUUUGUAUUUUCCCUUGUUUUGAAAAAGGCAGAGAAGCCUGCAUGCACCACCCACCCCCCACUUCCAGCCACUUCAUUCCUCUGUGUAUCAGGGCUCUUGAUGAAGAGAGAAUUCACACAUUCAUUCAGCACAAGGUAAAAAUGGGUCAGUGCCUGACUGGAUCCUCUUGCAGAGCGGGAUACUCUUGAAAACUCGUUAAAUUUCAUGUUGAUAUUCUGUUCAUACCUGAAUCUGAGUGGUGGGGGUGGUGCUUACCAGGCCGGAGGAUAACAAUGAGAAAGGAGGCUCAAGAAGAGGGAGAGAAAUAAGAGAAACCUCCAUGGGGUAAAGGACACUUAGAAUUGUUCAUUAGAGCAUAUCUACUAUAAUCUCUUCACUAUGAAAAUAAAGGGAGAGGGAUAAAUUGGAAAUUUGGGAUUACCAGAUGCAUACAACUAUACAUAUAGUAGAUAAUAAAGACCUAUUGCAUGCUAUAUACUUGAAUUACUUUGCUGUAUACUUGAAUCAUUGUAAGUCACCUGUUUUUCAAUAAAAAUAAAGAAAUUUUAGCUCAAAAGAAAGAAUUGAAAGGGAAGAAAGAAGGAGGUUGACUUAUGGCAGAAUGGGAUUUGCAUAAGAUUGUAAAUGUAAUUAUCAUCUGAUCAUUUAUGAAACGUGAGGUCCCCUAGUACAGAGUUUGCUUUGAAACAACUUACAUCUUUUUGGUUUUGCUUGUGUAACUGGGAGGUUUAUCUGGGAAAUGUUUAGGAGUAGAUAUUUGAUACUUUGAUGUAACUAUAUCGGGUACCCCCACAAAAAUCCUAGUAGGAGGAAAGAAUUGGUUCCUUGCCAUCCAAGGGCCAGCUAUGCAUUUGGGGGCAUUCUUAUGCUUUAGUUUCCAUAUCUCUAAUGAAGAGUUUAAUGAUUUUUAAGUUUAAUAUUAGAUGAUAAUUAAGUUCAAUUUUAGAAGUAAAUAACUUGGAAAUAUGGCUUAGACCUCAAAAAUGUUGGCCAUUAUUAGCAUGACUAUGAUGAUUCUUACUUACUGAGUAAGCAAUGGUCCCUGAUUGAACAAGUCCAGGGACCAAAAUUUGUGCCUUCGGUAUCUACAAUAAGGAGGGACUAAACGCAGAGACAAAGAUGGACACCCUUGCUUACAGUCAAAUGUUAUGCAGCCAUUGGAGAUGUCUUACAUCACUGCUCAAACAAGUACUUAGCACAGUCCCUGGUACAUAGGGCCACUCAGGGUGGCCAGACUGGGGAGUGUCUGCUUUGCUCUUCAGUGCUGUCCACUAUCCUCCCAGUUUAUGUGCGAGUCUCUCUUUUGAUGGAGGAAGCACACACUGAACUGUCUAGGAAGACUCCCACUGGCUUAGGUUUGCUGCACAUCUCUAGGAUUUGCUCUUUACUUCAUCUAUCACUUUAAUUAUCCUGGUAAACUUCUCUUCCAAUUAUUUUCUCUUUUUUCCUCUGCCUAUUUUCCACAGUCUUCUUCUGUCAUUGAGUUCACUCUUUCCAUUCCCUGGGGCUGGACACCCUGUCUUCUCUUAGUCUGUUGACACUGAGGCACAGGUAUCCUGUAUUGCCCAGCUACCUAUCGGCAGGGAUGUAUUCCCUUUUGCUAACCAUCUGCAGAAUGGGAAGGCCCGUUGCUUUGUGUAGCUGGUUUAUCGGAAACUGAUGGAAACCUAUAGAGAAGAACCAGGGCCUCCUCCUGUGUUGGUCUGUAGGCAUCCCACUUGGCCCCAGCAAAGCAGAGUGAAACCCAAAGGCUUGUUUCACACUUGACCUUUAGGCUGACCUGUAGGAUUUAUCCCCUGGUGAACCUCAUGCUAUUUAGGUAUUUUCUUCAAGACAUAGGAGCUACUGAAAGCUUCUAGAAAGCUUUGCAUUUUUUAAAAUGGAAGUAAAAGUUAAUAUUUUUAAAUAGUUGCCAUAUCAUGACUCACUGUUUUGACAUCGCACUGAAAUAAUUUAUGAGUGUUUUACAUCUUUACAUUUAAAUACAUCUGAUACCUCUUUGAAGCAGCUAAAAACUGUUCCAGACCCAGUACCAGCUGUCAUGUGAAUAGGGAUUAUUCUUUGGGGACAAGGAAUGGAGGACAUCUCCCGACCCUCUGAUUCAUUUAUUUAUAAAAAGAUUGUGUGUCGCUCAUUUUCCUUGAUCUUUUAUAUAUAGUAGAAUCCAGCUUGCAAAUUUAUAGGGCUUAGAUGAUUUUCUUAAAAAAAUUACUGAAUUAAAUUCUGGAAUAAAACUUUAAUUUUAUUGGCAUUUAAUGGAAUUCUUUUCACUGUGGAGCAAAACAAAAGAUACUUUUAAUUCUCUAUCAAAUCGUUAACCUUGGUAUUUGAACUAACUGAAAGUACCAUCUUGCACAAUCUCAAGACCUCCUUGAAGGCAAAACAUUGUAUUAUCAUCAUCUUUAUUUCACCCCAGAGUGUCUAGGAAAGCAAGACCACAGCUGAUAAAAAAUCAGUUUGCUAAUGAACUGCAUUUAAGUUGUAGCAGAGAGAUGCUCAAAUGACACCUCCUAGGAACUGAAAAAAGAAAAUUGUUUUAUUUUUCACUGCCUCUUAAAUCUGCAGUUUCACUGUUUCUUUCCCCUCCUCUUUUCUAGACAGCUCUCAAUCUCCAGAUGUCCUUUUCAUGGAGACACUUAUAGUUCCUGUCUGGUGAUCUAGGAAAGUUCAAUUCUGUCUUCAGAACAUCUUUACCCUUGGCAUGCCUGCCAGUAUGGGCUCCCUCCUGCUGAGCACAUUUUCUCCUCUUUUUCACAUAAGUCCAAAUAUCUCCCACUUACAUUUCAAAGAUGUUAGACUAAAAGUGCUGGUGUCUGAAGCUUUCCCCUUUCUUCUGAAGAAACCCUCCAUCACGAAGACAAAUGUACGCAUAUGAGCAUUCUGUCCCAUCAUGGUGCACGUUGACAGCAUUCAAGAUGCCUUUGGAUAAAUUGGUCUGACUCUCAGCUUGAAAAUUCCUUCUCUUUCCCUUCUGCCCAGUGAAUAUGUAUUCAGCUUCCAUUGCUCUAUUCAACUAUCUCUACUUCUGUGCAUCUUUCUCAUUUAUUUUGGUUGGAAAUAGAUAUUUCUUCCAAUGGCCCUCUGCAUAAGCCCCUCUGACAACCUUAUAUCUUGAUGCAUGGUGGUUAAAUAUUCGUAUGCUCCCCCUAUCCCCAGCACAGUCCUGGACUUCUCAAGCAUAAGAAAACUAUCUUAUUCUGUUCUGUAAUCACUACCCAGAAUGAAGUAUGGAUCCUCGUACCCACUGAGCACUUGAUAAUGUCUGUACAACAGAUUUGAGUGUAUAUAGCAUUGGGAUUAUCUGAAGGGAAACACUUGUGAAUGAUAUAGAGUUAACAACUGAUUUUGAAUGAGGUAUAUGCUAAGCUAGAAUUUGAAGAGAAAGAGUUUGUAUAUAGAAAACAAAUGAUACACUGAGUUAAAUUUUAUAUGAGUCUCCACUAACAAGGGUUCUUGUAUUGGUAGUUAAUCAACAAAUGGAAAUGAUUUCUUUUGGAAAAAUUGCAGGAAUUUGGAGUAAUAUAAAAGUUUAAUAUUUUGAAACUUAUUGAAAUGGAAGAUAAAAAUGAAUCACAGUACUGAAAUAAAUGUUGUUAAACAUGUGCUUAUUUCCUCAUAAAAAAGCAGGACUUGAGAUAAUCUUUGAAAGGUAUUAUGAGAUAUUUAUUUUAUUUAUUUUUUUAUGGCAGUAUGCAUGGCCUAUGGAGGUUCUCAGGCCAGGGAUUGAAUUUAAGAUGCAGCUGCGACCUACCCUGCAGUUGUGGCAAUGCUGGAUCUUUUAACCCACUGAACCUCCAUGGCAACCCGAGCUGCUGCAGUCAGAUUCUUAACCCACUGCACAACAGUGGGAACUCCAGAAAUUUCUUGAUUCAAUUUUAUUUGAAACAAAAAUGUAAUUAUAAUGUAUACAUGUAAGGAUAACUUGAUCCCCUUGCUGUAC
rnacentral:lncRNA from 1 species